rnacentral:rRNA from 1 species
UACGGGGGGGGCAAGCGUUGUUCGGAAUUACUGGGCGUAAAGCGCACGUAGUCGGCUUUGCAAGUCGGUUGUGAAAUCCCCGGGCUCAACCUGGGAACUGCAUCCGAGACUGCAUUGCUAGAGUAUGGGAGAGGGAAGCGGAAUUUCUGGUGUAGCAGUGAAAUGCGUAGAUAUCAGAAGGAACAUCAGUGGCGAAGGCGGCUUCCUGGACCAAUACUGACGAUCAGGUGCGAAAGCGUGGGGAGCAAACAGG